GGUUGUGGUGGCCUAGUGGUUAGAGUGUCCGUCUCAAAUGUGGGAGGUCAUGGGUUCAAACCCGGGCCGAGUCA